rnacentral:tRNA from 1 species
GCCUGGGUGGCUCAGUCGGUUAAGCGACUGACUUCGGCUCAGGUCAUGAUCUCAGCGUCCGUGAGUUCGAGCCCCACAUCGGGCU